rnacentral:rRNA from 1 species
GAUGAACGCUGGCGGCGUGCCUAAUACAUGCAAGUCGAGCGAACAGACGAGGAGCUUGCUCCUCUGACGUUAGCGGCGGACGGGUGAGUAACACGUGGAUAACCUACCUAUAAGACGGGGAUAACUUCGGGAAACCGGAGCUAAUACCGGAGAAGAUAUUGAACCGCAUGGUUCAAUAGUGAAAGACGGUUGUGCUGGCACGUAUAGAUGGAUCCGCGCUGCAUUGGCUAGUUGGGAAGGUAACGGCUUACCAAGGCAACGAUGCGUAGCCGAGCUGAGAGGGUGAUCGGCCACACUGGAACUUGGACACGGUCCAGACUCCUACGGUAGGCCGCAGUCUGGAAUCUUCCGCAAUGGGCGAAAGCCUGACGGAGCAACGCCGCGUGAGUGAUGACGGUCUUCGGAUCGUAAAACUCUGUUUUUAGGUAAGAACCACUGUGUAAUUAACUAUGCACGUCUUGACGGUACCUAAUCAGAAAGCCCCGGCUAACUACGUG